rnacentral:rRNA from 1 species
AGAGUUUGAUCCUGGCUCAGAAUGAACGUUGGCGGCGUGGAUUAGGCAUGCAAGUCGAGCGAGAAUUUCAUUGUUGAAGCUUCGGUGGAUUCAAUGGAAGGACAGCGGCAAACGGCGUAGUAAUGCGUAGGUACGUACCCUCAGGUUGGGGAUAGCCACGGGAAACUGUGGGUAAUACCCAAUAAUCUCUGCGGAGCAAAGGUGUGAUUCCGCCUGAGGAGCGGCUUACGUGAUAUUAGCUAGAUGGUGGGGUAAUGGCCUACCAUGGCGACGAUGUCUCGGGGGUGUGAGAGCAUGGCCCCCACGACCGGAACUGAGAUACUGUCCGGACACCUACGGGUGGCUGCAGUCGAGAAUCUUCCGCAAUGGGCGAAAGCCUGACGGAGCGACGCCGCGUGCGGGAUGAAGGCCCUUGGGUUGUAAACCGCUGUCAGAGGGGAUGAAAUCAUGGUUGGUUAUCCUUCCAUG